GCCUACGGGGGGCAGCAGUAGGGAAUCUUCCACAAUGGGCGAAAGCCUGAUGGAGCAACGCCGCGUGGGUGAAGAAGGUCUUCGGAUCGUAAAGCCCUGUUGUUAGAGAAGAAAGUGCGUGAGAGUAACUGUUCACGUUUCGACGGUAUCUAACCAGAAAGCCACGGCUAACUACGUGCCAGCAGCCGCGGUAAUACGUAGGUGGCAAGCGUUAUCCGGAUUUAUUGGGCGUAAAGGGAACGCAGGCGGUCUUUUAAGUAUGAUGUGAAAGCCUUCGGCUUAACCGGAGUAGGGCAUUGGAAACU
rnacentral:rRNA from 1 species